UACGUAGGGUGCGAGCGUUAAUCGGAUUUACUGGGCGUAAAGCGUGCGCAGGCGGUUUGUUAAGCGAGAUGUGAAAUCCCUGGGCUCAACCUAGGAAUUGCGCUUGUGACUGGCGGGCUCGAGUACGGUAGAGGGGGGUGGAAUUCCUGGUGUAGCAGUGAAAUGCGUAGAGAUCAGGAGGAACACCGAUGGCGAAGGCAGCCCCCUGGGCCUGUACUGACGCUCAUGCACGAAAGCGUGGGGAGCAAACAGG
rnacentral:rRNA from 1 species